GACGAACGCUGGCGGCGUGCUUAACACAUGCAAGUCGAACGGUGAAGCGGUGCUUGCGCCGUGGGUUAGUGUGGAACGGGUGAGUGUUACGUGAGUGACCUACGCUUGACACUGGGAUAAGCCUGGAAGACUGGGUCUCUUAUCGGGUACGACAGCUCUUGCCAUGGGGUGUGGGUGGGAAGGGUUCUGGGGCGGUUUUAGAUGGGCUCACGUCCUAUCAGCUUGUUGGUGGGGUAAUGGCUUACCACGGGGACGACGGGUAGCCGGCCUGAGAGGGUGACCGGCCACACUGGGACUGAGAUACGGCCCAGACUCCUACGGGAGGCAGCAGUGGGGAAUAUUGCACAAUGGGCGCAAGCCUGAUGCAGCGACGCCGCGUGAGGGAUGACGGCCUUCGGGUUGUAAACCUCUGUUAGCAGCGAAGAAGCGAAAGUGACGGUAGGUGCAGAGAAAGCGCCGGCUAACUACGUG
rnacentral:rRNA from 1 species